rnacentral:rRNA from 1 species
UCCAGACUCCUACGGGAGGCAGCAGUGGGGAAUAUUGCACAAUGGGGGAAACCCUGAUGCAGCAACGCCGCGUGGGUGAAGGAGCGUUUCGGCGCGUAAAGCCCUGUCAGCGGGGAAGAAGAAAGACGGUACCCGACCAAGAAGCCCCGGCUAACUACGUGCCAGCAGCCGCGGUAAUACGUAGGGGGCAAGCGUUAUCCGGAUUUACUGGGUGUAAAGGGAGCGUAGACGGCUGUGCAAGUCUGAAGUGAAAGCCCGUGGCUCAACCGCGGAACUGCUUUGGAAACUGUAUAGCUUGAGUACUGGAGAGGCAGGCGGAAUUCCUAGUGUAGCGGUGAAAUGCGUAGAUAUUAGGAGGAACACCAGUGGCGAAGGCGGCCUGCUGGACAGAAACUGACGUUGAGGCUCGAAAGCGUGGGGAGCAAACAGGAUUAGAUACCCCUGUA